GCGACUGAGUGAAAAAUCUUCAUAAUUCACUGUCUGAUUCAGGACUCUGUCUUUACUCUCUUCUGAUGAAUUUACUCUCUUCUGGAAACUUAAGAGAAAUGUUGAUCAUCUUUGGACUGAUGCUUCUGCUUCAGACUGGCUCAUGUGUGAAUUGGAACUGCAGCAUUAUUGAGACUAAACCCUGUUAUGCAGUUCUGAGAGAUAAACUCUCUCUGCAGAUUGGUCCUUAUAGUAAGCUAAUCAUACAAAAAGAGAGUUUAACUUGUGACAUAAAAAAUGACAGAAAGGGUCAAUCUUGUGAUCUUUAUAGUAACAGACCUGACGUUAUCAUCAGUAAUGGCACUGUGAUUAUAAACAGUGUGACCAGAGCAGAUUCAGGGAGAUACACAUUAAACCUUACUGACUUAGAGGGCAAAGUUUUACCUACUACAGGACUUCAAGUGAAUGUUGAAGCUCCUAUUGGCUCAGUGAAAGUGUCAGUCGAAUGCAUCAGUGGGGUGAGGUGGGCAUCCUGCUCCUCUGAGGGGGAUUCACUCUUCUUCAACUGGACUCUGAAUGGACAACCACUAGCACAAGAAAAUAAGACCACCAUUCAUCUAUAUGGGGAAACUUCUGGAAACCUCAUCUGCAGCGUGAAGAACCACAUAAGUCAUGGAGAGAAGAGCAUCACUGUAAAUGAUUGUACCGGUGAGCUUUAAUCUAUGAAUGUUUAAUUACUUACAGUACUAAAACAACAGCAACAAGAAUAAAUCACUGGAUGAAUCUCACAACAUCUUAUAAACACAGGACACAUUUCACCUAAAAAAAUUGGAGAGAAGGAGAUCACUGUGAAGAGAAGAGCAUCACUUAAAAAUAUUGUAAUGGGGAGCAUUAAACUAUGAAUUUUCAGAAAUUUACUAAAACAAGUGACUGAUCAUUCUCAGAUCUGUAGGUUUAAUUGUUAACAGUGAUGCAGUUUAUCAGUCAGUUCAUGACUUGUGUCAAUGUGUUGUGGGGUUCAGAGAGAGAAUGUAAAUGAAUCUUCAACUGUGUCUGAUUACAGGAACUACUACUGCAUCUGUGACCCCUACGCUGACCUCUACAGUGACUAAUAGCACGCGUGCAUCAGCCGGCACGACUCUCUCUGUCUCUCUGACGUUUGUGAUAGUGUGGACCUUCCAGAUGAUAUUUCUUCUGAUUCUGUUAGGAGGCUUUCACAUCUACAUCAGAAAGCGCACCAGCACACAAACACCAGGAGAAGAACAGCAAGAAGAAGAUAUUGUUCUGUAUGAAAACUGAAACAAGAUUACAGAAAUACAUCGACAGACACAAGCAGAUUUCAUCACAUAUAAGAAAUAUUUUUACAAUGUCAAAGAUUUUCACAUGAAUAGAGCUUUAACGUUGAGCAACGGCAUUGGAUAUUAUGAUAUUAUUAUUGUGACUUUUUUAAAUUUCUUUAAAUGUUUAUGUGCAGUGCUGCUUAGUGUAAGCAGAAGCAUAAUGGUUUGGUAGUAGCAUAGUGGUCGGGCUUGUAAACCGAGAGUUGUUGGUUCGAGUCAUAGCUGCUCAUUGCUCCAUAGCUACGUGGAGCAUAGCUACAUCACUUUCACUUGCUCAAAUGUUUGUGUGUGUGUACGUAAUC